rnacentral:lncRNA from 1 species
GCUGAUUCGCUAACUUUUUUCCACUUCGUUCUUGGUCUUUUAAGAUCUUUUUUGUGGUUCUCAAUUCUUGUGACUAAAUGCCGUUUUCCUCUAAGAAAAUUAUUGAAUGCGAUCCAUCUGUUACAUCGUAAUUCGUCCCAAACACUCCCAUACCAGGAGAUAACAUGCUUUGUUGUAACUAUCAAUGGCAUUGAAAUUCUUUUGCUUUGAAACCGAUAAAGCCAUAUAUUCCCUUCCAUUGAUUCUUUGAUUCUCCAUGAGUAUGCUAUACCCGGAUCCCAAAUUCGCUCAUCAAAACGCUCAUCAAAACGCAAUGUAACACUUUGAGAUUGAAUAUUAAUCCCAUUUGCUAAUUGGAAUUUUGGAAAUCGGGCAUCGCAAAGGACAAAGAGAUCCUUCACGGAGAUUGAUCGUUCGUUGUGGGUGAAAUCAAACCAUAGACACUCUCCCACAAAAAAAAACUUGAAAUAAACGUCUCCGUAACCGGAGGAAUUUUGUAGACAGAUAUGCAAUAUACCUUUUUGAUUGUGGAUUCACCAUCACUUCUCGUUGACCCAUAAAAUUCACGUUGAUUGGAACCUCCAUUAUAAUCAAAAAGAAGAAAAAUAAAUGUAGAAACCUUCUCACCAUCCAUCUGAUGUUGUUAUUGAAAACAAAAAUAAAAAACAAAUGAAGAAGAAAACAGAGCCACCAGCAAACGCCGGCAGCCCAAACACGAUGAAGAUUUGAAGUUAACUGUUUUUUUUUUCGUCUUUGUGAUCGCUCAGAGAUUAAUAAUAUUUUUUUUUUAAUUUGAACAUGUAAUACAG